rnacentral:RNase_P_RNA from 1 species
GCGAUGAACCAAGCUGCCGCCCUGCUGCCUGACUAUCAGGCAAAGGGGAGGAAAGUCCGGGCUCCGCAGGGCAUGAUGCCGGGUAACGCCCGGGCGCGCGGUUGUCCGUUCACGGAUAGCCGCGCGACAGACAGCGCAACAGAAAGUAUACCGUCCGGCUGCCCAGCAGGCGGAUAAGGGUGAAAAGGCGGGGUAAGAGCCCACCUCGGCUGCGGCGACGCAGCCGGAACCAUUCCGGCCCGGCCUUUUCGCCGGAACCGGAAAAGGGCAAGCCUCAUCAGGAGCAAAGUCAAGCAGCGGUUGAACGGCCCGUUCAAAACCGCGGGUAGACUGCACAGAGGAUCCCUGCAAAGGGAUUCGAAGACAGAUGGCAGCGGCGCUUCGGGCUGUAAGGCCUGGGGCGUAACAGAACCCGGCUUAUGGUUCAUCGCUUUU